GUUCCUGGGCCGGUGAGGCAGCAGCCCAGCAACCGUACCGCCCGGGGGAAAAGGAAAGUCCUGGCCUGGAGGAUCCGAGCCCGCAGGCUCCGUGCGGCAGGUCCCGCCGGGCCCUGCUGCUGGAAGUGCUCCGUGGGCUUCGCGCAGCUGGGGAUCGGCAGGAAACUCAGGUUGAAUAAUUCAUCAAAUUACACAACUGAACUCAAGACAUGGCUGCCCAGUGUGUCACAAAGGUGGCGCUGAAUGUUUCCUGUGCCAAUCUUUUGGAUAAAGAUAUAGGGUCAAAGUCAGACCCUUUAUGUGUGUUGUUUUUGAAUACAAGUGGUCAACAGUGGUAUGAGGUUGAGCGCACAGAAAGGAUUAAGAAUUGCUUGAAUCCCCAAUUUUCCAAGACAUUUAUUAUUGAUUACUACUUUGAAGUGGUUCAGAAAUUGAAAUUUGGGGUU
rnacentral:lncRNA from 10 species